GUGGUGCAUGGUUGUCGUCAGCUCGUGUCGUGAGAUGUUGGGUUAAGUCCCGCAACGAGCGCAACCCUUAAGCUUAGUUGCCAUCAUUAAGUUGGGCACUCUAAGUUGACUGCCGGUGACAAACCGGAGGAAGGUGGGGAUGACGUCAAAUCAUCAUGCCCCUUAUGAUUUGGGCUACACACGUGCUACAAUGGACAAUACAAAGGGCAGCGAAACCGCGAGGUCAAGCAAAUCCCAUAAAGUUGUUCUCAGUUCGGAUUGUAGUCUGCAACUCGACUACAUGAAGCUGGAAUCGCUAGUAAUCGUAGAUCAGCAUGCUACGGUGAAUACGUUCCCGGGUCUUGUACACACCGCCCG
rnacentral:rRNA from 1 species